rnacentral:rRNA from 1 species
AGUUCGAUUAUGGGUCUCAGACAAUCGCUGGAUGCUUACACAUGCAAGUCGAACGGCAGCACGGAAUUUCCGGUCUGUGGCGAGGCGGGACGGUGAGUAGUCGUAUCGGAACGCCUAGUAGCGGGGAUAACUACGCGAAAAAGCAGUAGCUUACACAUUGCAUAUACCCUGGGGGAAAGCGGGGACCUUCGGGCCUGCACUAUUAGAGUGGCCGAUAUCGGAUUAGCUAGUUGGUGGGCAAUGGCUCACCAAGGCGACGAUCCGUAGCUGGUUUGAGAGGACGACCAGCCACACCGGGACCGGGAGACACGGCCCAGACUCCUACGGGAGGCAGUGGGGAAUUUUGACAAUGGGGAAACCCUGAUCCAGCCAUCCGCGUGUGCGAUGAAGGCCUUCGGGUUGUGAAGCACUUUUUGGCAGGAAAGAAACGGCACGGAGCAAUACCCCGUGCAACUGACGGUACUUGCAGAAUAAGCACCGGCUAACUACGUGCCAGCAGCCGCGGUAAUACGUAGGGUAAAGCUGCUAAUCGGAAUUACUGGGCGUAAAGCGCAGGCGGUUCGGAAAGCAGUGAUGUGAAAUCCCAGAGCUUAACUUUGAACUGCAUUUUUAACUACCGAGCUAGAGGUCAGGAGGGAGGUGGAAUUCAUGUAGCAGUGUGGAGAGAUGCAGAUAUGCGGAGGAACACCGAUGGCGAAGGCAGCCUCCUGGGGGAUAACACUGACGUUCAUGCUCGAAAGCGUGGGGAGCAAACAGAUUAGAUACCCUGGUAGUCCACGCCCUAAACGAUGUCAACUAGCUGUUAGUCUGGCCUGUAGCAGCCAGUGAAGUUGACCGCCUGGGGAGUACGGUCGCAAGAUUAAAACUCAAAGGAAUUGAUUUGGACCCGCACAAGCGGUGGAUGAUGUGGAUUAAUUCGAUGCAACGCGAAAACCUUACCUACCCUUGACAUGUCUGGAAUCCCGAAGAGAUUUGGGAGUGCUCGCAAGAGAACCGAACACAGGUGCUGCAUGGCUGUCGUCAGCUCGUGUCGAGAUGUUGGGUUAAGUCCCGCAACGAGUGGCAACCCCAGCUGGCUAGUUGCUACGAAAGGGCACUCUAAUGAGACUGCCGGUGACAAACCGGAGGAAGGUGGGGAUGACGUCAAGUCCUCAUGGCCCUUGCGGGUAGGGCUUCACACGUCAUACAAUCGGUCGGGACAGAGGGUCGCUAACCCGCGAGGUAGAGCCAAUCCCAGAAACCCGAUCGGGAACUGGAUCGCAGUCUGCAACGACUGCGGAAGUCGGAAUCGCUAGUAAUCGCGGACUCAGCAUGUCGCGGUGAAUACGUUCCCGGGUCUUGUACACACCGCCCGUCACACCAUGGGAGUGGGUUUUACCAGAAGUAGUUAGCCUAACCGCAAGGAGGGCGACGUUUUUCUAGGAUUCAUGACUGGGGUGAAGUUCGCACAAGGUAG